AGUGCAGGCUGAAGCUGGCCGGAGUCCUGCCUCCAUGGUUCUCUAUACAAUUUCUUCUAAAUCAACAAUGUGGAUGGAUGCAGGGCUGAAUCGUAGAGUUAUGGGGCCCGUGAUUUUCUGCUGGGGAGGAUCUCUUGAGACCACGAUUCUUCAAAACGUGUGACACGUGUGUGAGAUUUCGAACUGUUCCAGCUCAUUAUUGCAGCUUUCAAAACCUGCACCUGCCUCCAGUUUGAUGUCUUUUCAAACUGGAGCUUCCUGUUUGCUGACUCACUCUCAAAGGGAAGCGGCAGUCAGGGGGGAUUGCCACACUGAAUAGGAUUUCAUGACAGUUUUUACUGUUUCAAACAUAAAGUAAUGCGACUGAGGAUUUCAUCUACAGUGUCUGAUCAUUGAGAGGAACAGGCACAUUUCUGUUUUUGGAAUUGUCCUUCAUGUUUUCAUGCCAACUCUGCUUUGUCUUCAGAUUUGAGAUCAGUCAACCCAAAUGCAUCUUAAAAUUUUCCUUUUAAAGCUUCUCAUGUUUUUUGCUCAGCAUUUCAAUAAAACAAGUUAAUGUCUACCUCAUAUUA